UUUUCCCUACGGGGCGCAGCAGUGGGGAAUAUUGGACAAUGGGGGGAACCCUGAUCCAGCGACGCCGCGUGAGUGAAGAAGUAUUUCGGUAUGUAAAGCUCUAUCAGCAGGGAAGAAAGAAAUGACGGUACCUGACUAAGAAGCCCCGGCUAACUACGUGCCAGCAGCCGCGGUAAUACGUAGGAGGCAAGCGUUAUCCGGAUUUACUGGGAGUAAAGGGAGCGUAGACGGCGAUGCAAGUCU
rnacentral:rRNA from 1 species